GGACGCAGUGUCAGUGUUGUGUUAUCCUUUCAAGGUACGCGUAUUUGUUACUUUAUUCAUCUGCCACAACGACUGAAGGUGUAAGCAGUUUAAGCGUCGUAGGAAUAAGGGAGAGGCACAUGCCACAUGUACCGACAGGAUUAAAUUCGGAAAAUGGAAACAAGGAGUUCAACUGAACGCAUGGGUAACCGUGACGGCACAUUCGAGAAGCGCCUUGCAUGCGUAACCAGGCUUACAUCAGAGCAGUGCUACAGAACUUUCACGUGUCUGCAAAGGAUGCCAGUAGUCCACUAGGGUCAG